GGGUAUAGUAGUAUUUCGACGACGAUGGAGUGUUGGCAGCGAUGAUCUCGUGGUUCCUGGAGCAUUUUUGUGUAUUGUUCACAUUAUAUGGUAAGUUAAUAAUUUAAACCAUAAAGCAAAACGUGAUAAAUCAAAACUUUGAGAACUUUUAAAGUUAAUAAUUUUUUUUUCCUUUCAACAAUUAAUUAUAAAAUAUCUAAUGAAUCAUGGGGUACAUUCAGAAAUGCGCUAGCUCUAUCUCUAGCCAAGCGUUGCCAUAUAGCGAGAGCUAGAGUUAAAGAAUCUCCGAAUGCACCCAUAACAUUACUUCUUUCAUUUAAAAUUAUUUCAAACAUAAUUUAAUAUGAGUAAAUAAUAAAUUCCUUUCUGCACAAUAAAAAAUAUUAUGUUAAAAUCAGCAUAAUUUGUGUGUUAGAAACGGUCCACAAAAUAUUUGUGUUAAAAUUUAAACGAAAAAUUCGGGUAAUAUGAUGCAUAUAUUCAACACUUUUUAAAUGUCAGUGGCAAUACAAAAAUAACAUGUUAACUUUUACAUUUUAUUUUUGUACCAUGGAUAUUCAUUAAAUAUUAUUUAUACAUUUAUAUAUUAUUUUGAGGUUAUUAAAAGUGACAAUAAUCAUUAUUUAACAUUCAACUAUUUUUUGAAAGUAAACAAUGUAUUUGUUAGGAAAAUUAAAAAAAAAAAUCACGCAAUAUUUCAUACCCGACGUAAAUGAUCAAUCAAUUAAUUUCAUAUAAAAAAAUACAAAAACACAUUAUUGUUUAGCGAGAAAACAAUUUUGACAUUGGACAAAAUAAUUAAAAAUUAUAACUAAAUCUUUUUAAUUUGUAUGAUAAGCAUUCCAGCAUUUCGUAAAGGGUAAAUUUAAUAUAUUAAUAAUUAAAAUUGUUAACCUAAAGUGACAUUUAUAAAUGUCAAUUUGACUUUCAUCAUUGUUAUAAUUUUUUCUGUGACUAUCGAUUGAGUUUUUAACAUAAAUUUACUGUUAAUUUUAAAGUAUCACUUAAUAAAUGUUGAUAAUUUGGAUUUUUGUACUAGAUCACACUUGUUGUUUUAAACAGUAGAUCGAUUUUAAAUUUUAAGACAACACAACUAUAGUAAGCAUUUAAACAUUGCUCAAAAUUAAUUUCAAUUAAGAACAUAAAUAAAAUUGUUCACACUUGACGUAUGUAAUAAUUAUAAAAGAUAGAUUUUAAUCACUUAUUUAAUAAUUUUUAAUUCUCAACAACAGUUAAAAAAAUAAAUAUUCCAAGCAUUAUCGUUAUUUUAUCACAAAAUUGAUUUCGAAUUUAAAUUUGAAAUUCAAAUUUUCGUCGUAUUAAAACGGAAUGAAUUACUGCCGUAUUGCAGUGAGCUUUUAGUAUAAUUUUGAAUUUACGUUACGUAUGAGCGAAAAAACUCUGAGGUGGGACAAAACCUAUAUAGUUUAAUACAGUUUGAUUACUUAUCGCGAUGUCGAAAAAGACAGGUUAACUAUUGGCGAAUUUAAGAGAUGAUUCUCGAACCAAAGUGCUUAAAUAUUUUAAUGGCUAUUAUAAUUUAUUAAAAAAUAAAUAUCAAUGUGAAUCUAUUUUAAUAAUUAUAUUUGUUUGUAAUAUUACCGUGAAGUAAUGCCAAGUCUCGUGGCGUUUGAUAGACGAUGGCAUAUCGGCAGUGAUGAUCUUGUUAUGCCAGGUUUUUUUUUAAGCUCUGUCCAUUUUAUUCAGAUAACAGUUCUUGGAGUUCUGUUGGGAAUAAUCUCUUGGAAUCGAAGUAUUAUUUGUGUUCUAUUACUAUGGAAUUAUAUUCUUGGCUACCUCAUCAUAUUUAUUAUAAGUUUAGCUGUGGAAUUAGCAAUAUGUAUUUUAUCAAGUCGAGGGAGUAUUCUCGAUACUGUAGCACGUGCUCCUAUUCAGCAUUUUAUAUAUAUUAAACUUUCUCUUCUGCUAAUAGAAACAGGGUGGCUCUGUGCCGGUGUUACAUGGUUAAUUUAUUAUUAUAAAAGUUGUUCUGCUGUCAAUGAAGCAAAAGAUAUUAUGCUGGGUCUUGUUAUAUGCAACUGGUGUAUUUUGGCAUCAGUAACCAUUACUGUUUGGUGUACAUAUGACGCAGCUGGAAGAUCUUGGGUAAAGAUGAAAAAAUAUCAGCGUAGUAUGAGAGAAGCUGAAACACGAAGUGGUAGAAUGCAUUACAAACGCAGUGGCAGUCGUAAUAGAAACUGGCGACAACGAAAAGUUAUUCGCGCUUAUCAAGACAGUUGGGAUAAUAGAUGUAGAUUGCUUUUUUGCUGUAUGGGCAAUUCAGACAGAAAUCAGAAUUCUUUUACAGAUAUUGCAAGGCUUUUGAGUGAUUUUUUUCGUGAUCUAGAUGUUGUUCCUUCAGACGUUGUAGCUGGACUUGUAUUGCUACGGAAAUUCCAAAAGGUUGAAAGAGAAUUAAUUGUAAAACAACGUAAAAAUGACACAUAUGAAUUUCUUUCUGGUGUUCCAAUAACACCAAGAACAAAGUUUUUAUCAUUAACUGAAGAUGGAGAUUUAGUACAUUUCCAAGCUGCAAUUCAUUAUAUGCAUUUUGCCUUAGCAGCCUACGGUUGGCCAUUAUUUUUAAUAAAUCAUAAAACAGGCCUUUGCCAAUUAUGUACAAGAUUAAGAUGUGAAUGUUUUCCAUGUGUAAAAUUUAAUGAUGACGCCAUUGUAAUUGAUGACAAUUGCUGCCAAUGUAAUUAUGCGGCGCUUCGGCGUAUGGUUGAUGUAGGUGAAGUUGAAGUUAUUUAUGCAACUUUCCAUGUAGAUAUUGGAGAAACUCCAUUUUUUGUUGCAUUAGAUUAUACAAGACAAAAGGUUGUUAUUAGUAUUCGUGGUACACUUAGUAUGAAGGAUGUUUUGACGGAUUUAAAUGCUGAAGCAGAAGUAUUACCAUUAACACCACCACAGGAGGACUGGCUUGGACAUAAAGGCAUGGUUCAAGCUGCUGAAUACAUACGAAAAAAAAUAUCCAACGAAGGCAUUAUUACAAAAGCUUUAACCAAAAAUCCAGAGAGAGGUACUGAUCAGUUUGGAUUGGCACUGGUAGGUCAUUCAUUGGGUGCUGGGACUGCAUCAAUUCUUGCAAUACUUCUUAGACAGGAAUACCCAGAUUUGAUAUGUUUUUCGUAUGCUCCACCGGGUGGUCUUUUGAGUAUGCCAGCGCAACAAUAUACCCAAACGUUUAUUACAUCAGUUGUUGUUGGAAAAGAUGUAGUCCCGAGGAUAGGUUUACGUCAAAUGGAAAGCCUACGCGCGGAUUUAAUAAAUGCUAUCAAAAGAAGUGUUGAUCCUAAGUGGAAGACUAUUGCGUGUUCUGUGAUGUGCUGUGGGUGUGGUUCAGUGCCAACGUCCGCAGCAAAUUUAGAGGCAGGGGGAUGUAUUGCUGAUUAUCAAAGAGACAAAGAUCAAGCAAGGGCGCAGACAAUUGUUCCAAGUGAUUCUAGUAUUGCUCUUACGCUUCAUACUCCACUUUAUCCGCCUGGUAAAAUCAUUCAUGUGGUUCGACAUCAUCCAAACAAGGGAGAGCAAAAAUAUGAAUCGCGAUGGAGGCAAUUAUUACGAAAAAGAGAACCUGUUUAUCAAGCUUUAUGGGCAGAGCCAGGUGAUUUUGAUGAAGUUCUCAUUAGUCCUGUAAUGAUACAGGAUCACAUGCCAGAUAAUAUGCUCAAGGCGCUUAAUAAGCUUUAACCAUCCACUUAAUUGGGAAUACACUCAGAGAAUUGCGCCUCUAGCCACGCCUGAAACUAUGUCCGAGGCGAGCAACUCGCCGUCACCAUUACCACCAACUAGACCAAUUAGACGUACACCAAAAAUAUCUGGGAACUUAUCAACAGCUGCAGAUGAUCUUAAAAGUAAUAUUCAUUUUGCAAUGCUUGCAGCUAAAAAUUAUGGAUUAUGCGAUGAGAUUGCUGGUAGCAAUAGCAGUAGUGGAAAUAGUGAAGCUAGUUAUGAAACAGCGAAAAGUCAACGUCUAGGAGGACUACCACCACCUCCAGUUCCACGACGACGGGAUUCCGUAAUCUUGAGAAGAGAACAUACUGUAUGUACCGCUGCUUGUUGUAGAGAUGAUCUCUCUGACAAUUCUACUCCUUCAUCAAUUCAUUCAACUUGUAUUAUUCGCAAUACUUAUCCUGUACAAAUAGAUUUUUCUAAUGAAGAUAAUGGUACAAAUGAAUCGAGUGUAGAUUUAUACGAAGUCAGGGGAUCACUGGGUCUACGUGAUUGCAAUAAUGAUGUAUUCUUAAGUGUGAAAAGCUCUCCAGAAUGUAAACGACUUAUGACGCCAGCUACAAAUAUCAAUGCUGAAUGGAGGAAACCAUUUGAUACAGUUGGUGGAACUUCUGUUGAUACAUCACUUCCACUACUUCGUGGUUUAUCUCCAACUCCAAGUCAUGUACAACAUACAUCGCCGUUUUCUAGUGCUAAAAGGAAAAAAUAUGUAUAUCCUAUCACGUUAGUUGGCCGAGGCGAAAGUAGUGUUUAAAUUUUUAGCAAUGCACAAAAUUUAUAAUGCCAUGGGACCAUAAUUUUCACUUAAUUUUCUAAAUAAAAGCUCAGCUCUUUUUACAAAGAACUAAGAUUACAAGAGUGAAAACCAGGACUCUUGUGACCUUUAGAUGAACCUGGCGACUCCGCCGUCCAUUUUACGCCAAUAUUUAUACUUUUGUCCCUGUGGCUUUAUUUAUCUAUUAUUGAUUUUUUUUUAUUUUAUGAUAUCAUUUCUCAGAAUGUUAAAUUAAUAAUUUUUUUUAUAUAUUAUUUAAUUUUAAUAUUUUUUGAAUGAUGUGCCAAUAAUUAAUACUUAGCUGUUGUAAUUAUAUACUAAAUAAUAUUUAGGCCUAUUGUACAUCGAACGAAAAAAUUGUUUGAUUCGUUCUAUAAAAUACUUUCUUUAUUAAUACACACAGUAAAAAAUACUGUGUUAAAAUAAAUAUAAUCUGUGUGUUAGAAACAGUCCACACAAUAUUUGUGUUAUUUUGUAACACAGACUAUUUGCGUUGAAUUUAACCACAAAAUUUGUAUCAACAUUUCAACAGAAAAUUCGCAUAAGACGACAAGUUAAUUCAACACUUUAAACGUCAGUGGUGACACAAAAUCAUCAGGAAACCAGUUGACCCUGCGGGCCAGCCCCAAAACUUCCUACUGUUUUUGGGCUCACAUUCGAGCUCUUUAAGCUCGACAAUAUCUUUAAAUACAUUAGUAUUUUCAAGUCCUUCGAGCUCGAAAAAAUGACGUUUCGUAUUACUCUCCAAGAAUUCAAGAAAUUGAAAGUAGUCAAUAAAAAUCGUUUUUUAUAUAGUUUCUUACGGUUAUGCUUAAGAAUUUCAAUGUUUUUGGACAGGAAUUAAUCGAAAUGAUCAAAAUGGAGAGUUACAUCAAUUUCAAUCAAAUCAGUACGUUAACAUAUGAAAUAUCCGGAAAAAAAUGUCAGAAAUAGUGAUUUUUUUAAAAUUUUGAUUGAUCAUAUUAUUUAGACUAACAGACCGAUUGCAAUCAAUUACGUAACCAUCAUCAGAAACUAUGAAGACAUUUACCUUCAUACUAUGGAUAUUCAUUAAAUAUAAAUAAUAUUAAUUUGAGAUUAUCAAAGUGAUAACAAUCGUUACUCAACAUUGAACUAUUUUUUGACAGUAAACAAUGUUUUUAUUAGUCAAAAUUUAAAAAAAAUUUUUUAAUAUUUCAUAGCAGUUAUAAAUAGUCCAUCAAUUUAUGUCUUUUAAAAAAA